UGGCUGAGGACACAGAAAGCCUGUCUGUGGGAGAGACAUGUGAGUAAAGGGACAUCCCUUGUAUAGUAAGUGCCGGACAGGCAAGGUAUUUCUUUUGUUGCUGUGUUAUAUUUCUUUUGUCUUUGCAACCUUUCUAAUAAACCUGACCCUGUGUCAGAUUGCACGAA